AUGUCAGAGGUGUACAACAGCUACAUCUUGGAUGCAAGAGAAUUGUGUGUUAUAUCAAUGCUAGAAUGCAUAACACAUAAAAUUACUGUGAGGCAUGACAAAAAGUACAAAGAAGCUUCAGAAAAGUGGACUGGACUUAUCUGCCCCAAGAUUAGGAAGAAACUGGACAAAAAUGCAGAGUACUCAGGUAACUGCUUUCCAACACAUUCAGGACUUGGAAUUUAUGGUGUUGAAUCAGGCAACAACAAGUAUGUUGUGGAUAUUCCAGCAAGAACUUGUGAUUGCAAAAAAAUUCAAUUGGAUGGCAUCCCUUGCAAUCAUGUGAUUGCUUGUUGUAGAGCUGAUAGGAUUGACCCUGAAACAUUGGUUCACAAGUGCUAUAGCAUAGAAAAUUAUCUAAAGGCAUAUGGGCACAACAUCAUGCCUAUGAGGGACAGGAAA
rnacentral:rRNA from 1 species